GCCAGCAUGGUGUAAUGGUUUGAAUGCUGGACUAAGACACCAGGAGACCAGGGUUCUAAUCCCUAUUCACUCA